rnacentral:rRNA from 1 species
AGUGAACGCUGGCGGUAGGCCUAACACAUGCAAGUCGAACGGCAGCACAGUAAGAGCUUGCUCUUACGGGUGGCGAGUGGCGGACGGGUGAGGAAUACAUCGGAAUCUACUUUUUCGUGGGGGGUAACGUAGGGAAACUUACGCUAAUACCGCAUACGACCUACUUGUGAAAGCAGGGGAUCUUCGUACCUUGCGCGAUUGAAUGAGCCGAUGUCGGAUUAGCUAGUUGGCGGGGUAGAGGCCCACCAAGGCGACGAUCCGUAGCUGGUCUGAGAGGAUGAUCAGCAACACUGGAACUGAGACACGGUCAAGACUCCUACGGGAGGCAGAAGUGGGGAAUAUUGGACAAUGGGCGCAAGCCUGAUCCAGCCCUACCGCGUGGGUGAAGAAGGCCUUCGGGUUGUAAAGCCCUUUUGUUGGGAAAGAAAAGCAGCAGGUUAAUACCCCGCUGUUCUGACGGUACCCAAAGAAUAAGCACCGGCUAACUUCGUG